UUGAAUUGAAGAGUUUGAUCAUGGCUCAGAUUGAACGCUGGCGGCAGGCUUAACACAUGCAAGUCGAACGGUAGCAGGAGAAAGCUUGCUUUCUUGCUGACGAGUGGCGGACGGGUGAGUAAUGCUUGGGAAUCUGGCUUAUGGAGGGGGAUAACGACGGGAAACUGUCGCUAAUACCGCGUAUUAUCGGAAGAUGAAAGUGCGGGACUGAGAGGCCGCAUGCCAUAGGAUGAGCCCAAGUGGGAUUAGGUAGUUGGUGGGGUAAAGGCCUACCAAGCCUGCGAUCUCUAGCUGGUCUGAGAGGAUGACCAGCCACACUGGAACUGAGACACGGUCCAGACUCCUACGGGAGGCAGCAGUGGGGAAUAUUGCGCAAUGGGGGGAACCCUGACGCAGCCAUGCCGCGUGAAUGAAGAAGGCCUUAGGGUUGUAAAGUUCUUUCGGUAUUGAGGAAGGUUGAUGUGUUAAUAGAACAUCAAAUUGACGUUAAAUACAGAAGAAGCACCGGCUAACUCCGUGCCAGCAGCCGCGGUAAUACGGAGGGUGCGAGCGUUAAUCGGAAUAACUGGGCGUAAAGGGCACGCAGGCGGUUAUUUAAGUGAGGUGUGAAAGCCCCGGGCUUAACCUGGGAAUUGCAUUUCAGACUGGGUAACUAGAG
rnacentral:rRNA from 1 species